rnacentral:sRNA from 1 species
AGGCAGCGAUAGGCAAAGCGCUGGUUUGUCCCGUUCAUCCACUCCCGCUCCAGGGGAGCGGGGCGGAUGGUCAUCUCAU